rnacentral:rRNA from 1 species
AUCCUGUCUGAAUAUGGGGGGACCAUCCUCCAAGGCUAAAUACUCCUGACUGACCGAUAGUGAACCAGUACCGUGAGGGAAAGGCGAAAAGAACCCCGGCGAGGGGAGUGAAAAAGAACCUGAAACCGUGUACGUACAAGCAGUGGGAGCCCUGAUUUAUCAGGGUGACUGCGUACCUUUUGUAUAAUGGGUCAGCGACUUAUAUUCUGUAGCAAGGUUAACCGAAUAGGGGAGCCGGAGGGAAACCGAGUCUUAACUGGGCGUUAAGUUGCAGGGUAUAGACCCGAAACCCGGUGAUCUAGCCAUGGGCAGGUUGAAGGUUGGGUAACACUAACUGGAGGACCGAACCGACUAAUGUUGAAAAAUUAGCGGAUGACUUGUGGCUGGGGGUGAAAGGCCAAUCAAACCGGGAGAUAGCUGGUUCUCCCCGAAAGCUAUUUAGGUAGCGCCUCGUGAAUUCAUCUCCGGGGGUAGAGCACUGUUUCGGCAAGGGGGUCAUCCCGACUUACCAACCCGAUGCAAACUGCGAAUACCGGAGAAUGUUAUCACGGGAGACACACGGCGGGUGCUAACGUCCGUCGUGAAGAGGGAAACAACCCAGACCGCCAGCUAAGGUCCCAAAGUCAUGGUUAAGUGGGAAACGAUGUGGGAAGGCCCAGACAGCCAGGAUGUUGGCUUAGAAGCAGCCAUCAUUUAAAGAAAGCGUAAUAGCUCACUGGUCGAGUCGGCCUGCGCGGAAGAUGUAACGGGGCUAAACCAUGCACCGAAGCUGCGGCAGCGACGCUGAUGCGUUGUUGGGUAGGGGAGCGUUCUGUAAGCCUGUGAAGGUGUGCUGUGAGGCAUGCUGGAGGUAUCAGAAGUGCGAAUGCUGACAUAAGUAACGAUAAAGCGGGUGAAAAGCCCGCUCGCCGGAAGACCAAGGGUUCCUGUCCAACGUUAAUCGGGGCAGGGUGAGUCGACCCCUAAGGCGAGGCCGAAAGGCGUAGUCGAUGGGAAACAGGUUAAUAUUCCUGUACUUGGUGUUACUGCGAAGGGGGGACGGAGAAGGCUAUGUUGGCCGGGCGACGGUUGUCCCGGUUUAAGCGUGUAGGCUGGUUUUCCAGGCAAAUCCGGAGAAUCAAGGCUGAGGCGUGAUGACGAGGCACUACGGUGCUGAAGCAACAAAUGCCCUGCUUCCAGGAAAAGCCUCUAAGCAUCAGGUAACAUCAAAUCGUACCCCAAACCGACACAGGUGGUCAGGUAGAGAAUACCAAGGCGCUUGAGAGAACUCGGGUGAAGGAACUAGGCAAAAUGGUGCCGUAACUUCGGGAGAAGGCACGCUGAUGGUAGGUGAAGCGACUUGCUCGUGGAGCUGAAAUCAGUCGAAGAUACCAGCUGGCUGCAACUGUUUAUUAAAAACACAGCACUGUGCAAACACGAAAGUGGACGUAUACGGUGUGACGCCUGCCCGGUGCCGGAAGGUUAAUUGAUGGGGUCAGCGCAAGCGAAGCUCUUGAUCGAAGCCCCGGUAAACGGCGGCCGUAACUAUAACGGUCCUAAGGUAGCGAAAUUCCUUGUCGGGUAAGUUCCGACCUGCACGAAUGGCGUAAUGAUGGCCAGGCUGUCUCCACCCGAGACUCAGUGAAAUUGAACUCGCUGUGAAGAUGCAGUGUACCCGCGGCAAGACGGAAAGACCCCGUGAACCUUUACUAUAGCUUGACACUGAACACUGGUCCUUGAUGUGUAGGAUAGGUGGGAGGCUUUGAAGUGUGGACGCCAGUCUGCAUGGAGCCGUCCUUGAAAUACCACCCUUUAAUGGCUGGUGUUCUAACGUUGGCCCCUUAUCGGGGUUGCGGACAGUGUCUGGUGGGUAGUUUGACUGGGGCGGUCUCCUCCUAAAGAGUAACGGAGGAGCACGAAGGUUGGCUAAUCCUGGUCGGACAUCAGGAGGUUAGUGCAAUGGCAUAAGCCAGCUUGACUGCGAGCGUGACGGCGCGAGCAGGUGCGAAAGCAGGUCAUAGUGAUCCGGUGGUUCUGAAUGGAAGGGCCAUCGCUCAACGGAUAAAAGGUACUCCGGGGAUAACAGGCUGAUACCGCCCAAGAGUUCAUAUCGACGGCGGUGUUUGGCACCUCGAUGUCGGCUCAUCACAUCCUGGGGCUGAAGUAGGUCCCAAGGGUAUGGCUGUUCGCCAUUUAAAGUGGUACGCGAGCUGGGUUUAGAACGUCGUGAGACAGUUCGGUCCCUAUCUGCCGUGGGCGCUGGAGAACUGAGGGGGGCUGCUCCUAGUACGAGAGGACCGGAGUGGACGCAUCACUGGUGUUCGGGUUGUCAUGCCAAUGGCACUGCCCGGUAGCUAAAUGCGGAAGAGAUAAGUGCUGAAAGCAUCUAAGCACGAAACUUGCCCCGAGAUGAGUUCUCCCUGAGACUUUAAGUCUCCUGAAGGAACGUUGAAGACGACGACGUUGAUAGGCCGGGUGUGUAAGCGCAGCGAUGCGUUGAGCUAACCGGUACUAAUGAACCGUGAGGCUUAACCUUACAACGCCGAAGGUGUUU